GAGGAGGGGAGACCCUUACCUGUCCUGUUUUGGCCAUGGUCUUGGGGUUCUGCAGCAGAAACCACUGUGGAAAGAGAAAGAGAAUUUGAAAGACCACCCCAGGACUCUGUAAGUCUCCAUUCUUUGCCCCUCAUUUUCCCUCCUGCUAUUCUCAUACCCAGAGACCUUGUAGAGCCAGGAACUUUGUUUUUCAAACGGCAGUGGCUGUAUUAGAUAACACACAGUCAGUCACAGCAGGGUGGGAGAGGGACCUGGAGAAGGGAGGCUGGGCAUGACCACUGACCAGCACUGACCAAGGCCCUGCUGUGUGCCUGUUAUCUCUCCUAAUCCUUUUAGCAAUCCUUACAGGCGGCAGGUGCCCUUUGUAAGACAAAGGAGACCAAGGCUGGGUACCACAUUUAGUCCAAAGCCAAAGCAGUACUCCAGAAUUCAGAGCCCUGGUGUGCUACCUGCACUCUGUGUGCCCUCUUUCCAAACCAUGGAGAAUGGCUUCCUAACCAGGCCUUCUGGCAUCCAAAUGGGAAGAAGCGGGAGGUCCCAGGUGUCUCCCUGAGGACAUCAUCUCAACUUGGGUAUGUUGCAUUCACUCAUCAUCUACCCCAGCCAGCAAUGCUCUGCACCCUGAGAACACAGCAGGACAUACUCAAGACUGGACAGUCCUAUUUUCAUGGGUCCCAGUGAUAAAUGCACCCACAUGGAUUUCAAUAAGCACCUGGAGGAAAGACAAUGUGCGGGACAAGAGGUAAUGGGAUGCAAUUAAUCCUGGGUGGCCAGUCAGAGGUCUCAUACAGAUGUUUGGGUAAGAGGCAGCAACACAGAGCUCGGUGUCAUCGGGGUGGCAGCAGGCAGAAGGAUGGUGACAGGAUGGUCUGACCCAGUGCCUGAUGUCACUGUGAAGACUUGGCUCAAAUCUGAUGGAACACAGCCAUCACCACUGUGGGAGACUUGAACAAAUGGGGCAAAAUAUCUUACCAGAACGGGUGAGGACUAUGGGCUGGGGGUGUCAGAGACAAGGGCUACACUGAUGGAACAAGGGACACAGGUGAAUUCUUAUAAAUAGAUGAGCAGGGGACAAGGAGCGGGUGCAGAGCAGAGCUUAGCCCUCAGGCACUCAGCAGAAGGGCAGGAGAUACAAGCUGAGCAAUCGGGAACCACGGAGGGAUGGCCUCUGUACUCUAGGAGCGGCUGGCUUAAGCUGACCGCCUCAAAAUUGUAAGAGUGAAAAUACCUUACUUGCAAGGAAUGAACUAGAAAUGAGGGUGGAUCCAUAGAGACCUGCAACUCAGCACUCUCCAGUCCUACAUAUCCCCUGACUUUGGAGAACUCUCCCCUCACAUCUAGUAGUCAUGUGACAGGACUUAUUGCUGAUUUCUGAGUUCAAGGUUAUGCUAAGCACAAACUGCCUGGGAGUGGUGCUGGGGGCUGGGGUCUGAACUGCUUCCAGCACAGAGCAGACAUCUCAGGAGCGGUGGUAUCUAUGGCAGUGGUGGGCUAGGGCCUGAACUGCUUCCAGCACAGAGCAGUCAUCUCGGGAGCGGUGGUAUCCAUGGCAGUGGUGGGGUGUUGGGUACAGGGACUUUUUUAGUUUGCCCCUAUGUUGCCUCUGCUGGUGUCCUGCAGUCAGCAAGGGGCAGUCAUCUGAUGAGGUUGGGGUGUGGAGGGUGCACACGGAGAUCUGUCUGCAUUUGAAGCUCAGCUACAGGAAACCCUGCUGUUGCCCUAGCAACCAGGGGCCCCUUGGCAUAAAACUGCAGCUCUCACCAGGAAAUGAAAACCUCACAUGAGAAGGGGUGACUUCUAAGAUUGGUUUCAGAACCAGCCCUGGGGUUACCCCAAGUCUGGAUACUCAAGGGGCAGCCAGUGAAGGAACGAACCCUCAAACUGCCAGAAACCCAGGGAGUGAAAGAGGCCCAGGAAGUGUGCUGACACUUGAAGGCUGAGGCACUUUCCUUGGCCUUGUUGCUGGAAACUUCAGCUGGCUGGUGACCAGGCCCAUCUGGAAGGCAGCCCCUUUCCACAGAGAGCCUGCUCCAAGGCGGGGCCACCAUGCCUUUGGGGGAAACUCCAAGGGCAGUUUCUGUGGGCCCCUUGGGAUGGAGGGGGGAGCUGCCUCCUCUGUAUGUAAAAAGUGAGUUCCUUUGAUAAUUUCAGAUUGAAGUUUGGAUGGUCAAUCUGGUCCAUUCCAACAGGAAAGCUAAAGGCUACAACAUAGAGGCUAGCUGCCUGAGCACUGCCCUGCCCACAUAAUAACCUACAGCACAGGACCUCCAGCUGAGCAGCCACUGGCCAAGGACCCUAGCUGAGGCCUGAACCACCUGACCGCCAAGCCUUUUUCAAGAUGGCUAGGACUCAGCCAGCAGCCUUGUCUACAGUCCCAGGUCCCAGCAAGCUUCCACACAGAUGGAGAGAGACCCAGGUGAGCGGUUUUCACAACAGAACGCUGGGAAGGCUCUCUCCAGACCCCAGGACUCCUCAGCCCUCCCUCAGUCUCUAAGUUUUACCAACUUAACCUGAAAAAGGUGCUCAAGACUGGUUAAAACUAGCUUCUCUCUCAGAGCCCCAAGUCUCUUUCAUCUGACCACCACACGAGUGAUUGGAUCAUUCCAGAAAAACCUCCCUCCGGGGCAGUGACCUUAAUGGCUUCUUCUUAAGUGGCCAUCACCACUGCCUUGCCUGGUAGCUUGUGACCAUUAUGGGGUUUCUUUGGGGGUUGAGGGGUAGAGUCCUAUUGCCCAACCUAGAGAAUGGGCCCAGGCCACCGCGUCUCCUGAACUCUGACUAACAUAAGUUGUUUAAACUGAAAUCUUAGCUUGCUCAUCUGCAAAGACAUAUUGGAAUUCCGAUGUGAACAGAUGAAAAAUGCUUAGCAAGACUGCUGACACACAGAAAAAAAACAAUAAAUAAUCAUGUUUAUCGGGAUAAGUUUAACAUGGCAAUAAAUGAAGGCUUUGAAGUCAAGAUCCCCAUGUUCAAAUCCUGACACUGCAAACACCUAGUUUGGGACUUUGAACCAGCUGCAUUACUUCUCUCCGCCUCAGUUUAGAAAUUUCCCACUUAGAAAUGGGAUAGUCGUAAGGUUUUCUUAGGAUAUUGCAAGACAUUGUGCAAAAGCCACCCUUUCUGUGGGAGACUAAAAUGCCCACCUGAAAGUAAUUAAAAAUCUCUUUUUAGAUUUA